CAUUUGGCAAUGAAGAAGAGUAGUAAAAGCGCAUCGUGUUUUAGAGAGCCUGUAAGUGGUGGAAACAGGUACACAUAACGCUUUGAAUGGACUUCCGAGCUCCUCGGUGAACAGGAUAAGUAGCUAAUGGCGUUUGCUCUGCGUUAAAGAGCGGUUUAGUAGUAAACCAUAAAGCGGCCGGCCUGUAUCUGCAAAGCCGGCAAUCAAGGGUGGCACCGCGGAAACGUACCAUUCGUCCCUUCU
rnacentral:ncRNA from 1 species